rnacentral:lncRNA from 1 species
ACUUCCGAUUGUAUGACUGUUUAAUGACAUGGCCGAAGAUUUCUAACUGGAGAAUAUAUAUGCUUAAAGGAGAACAGCUUAAUGCCUAGCUAUUUUCGACUUAGAGUAUCACUAAACAAUUGAUAAUGGUAAGCUUAUCUGUAAAGUGGAAAGAAAAAAAUCUACUUCUUUUACCCCUUAUAGCGAGUGUAACUGUUGUCAGUGUUGAUAUAUAAUUUUGUAUCAGUUUUCUUCAGUGUGUACAUGUAACAGAUAUAUCUACGAAACCGUAUCUCUUCUACUUCUAAGAUCUGUGUGGUUAAAGUUAAACUGCAGUCGAAAUUUCCAAAAUACAGAUAAACUAUGCAUAAUGCAACCAGUGCACGCCAAAGGCAAAGUUAGUCUCGGAUCAACCAAAACUUUCGUGCAGUACAUGAGCGAAAACAAUACACUUUAUCGCUAUUCCUGACUGAAACGAGAAUCUGUUGAUUCAUCUAUUGACUGCAUACAACAAUCACUUUUCCAUUGCGGCAUCAGAUAUUUUGUAUUAUGACGUCUAAUUUUAACGUGAAUCUCUGAUGUCCAGGGCAGACAAACAGCAAUAAGGUGUAAAUACCUUAUCAAUAUUUCAAUAUUUGGAAAUCUGUCUGUCUUGAGAAUCUUUCCCACUUGAAAUAGAAGUCAUACAACAAUCACUUUUCCAUGUUUUCCAUUGUGGCAACAGAUAUUUUCUAUUAUGAUGUCAAACUCAAAGUUUUCUAUUUGUAUCAAGAUCUUGAAAGUCAAGUUUUGAGCAUUCUAUAAAAAGAUUGUAACGAAGAUCGUCAUAUAAUAAGCAUUCCAUAAUUAGAAAGUGUUUUCCUGUUUCAACCCUGCUUGAUUCACACAAUACACAUAUUCUGUGUCCUAUGGGUGUAGGUGGCCUGGAAUAUCUUCCUGUCUCACACGCAAGUGGAAGUGAACCAGAGCAAAACAGAGCCAUUGUAAGUCACUCAGUUUUGAAAAUGUUCAGACAGACGCAGUGUUCGGUUUUCACACAUUGUUUAUGUUGCCUAUAAGUUCUUGAUUUUUUUCCGAUCGAUCAUUAAAAACGUCCCUGUUUCAUUCUGUGUUAUCUAAUACAUAUAUUUAAUUUUUCGCUAAUUGUACACAUCACAGUUUUUGUAGAUACAGAUAAAUUAUAAGGUGUGCAUGAGUAAUCAAAAGGGGUAAAUAAGGACUAAGUAUUGGUGUGUAGCAAUUAAAUAAUCAUGUCAACUUUUGACAGACCUGUGUUAAAUUAAUAAUCCCAGGCUAAAAAAUCAGCAUGAUCAUGCAUCAAUGAAAAGAUUAUAUAAGAUUAAAGAGUUUGAAGUUUUAAUUAAUGCUUAUUAAUUUAGAUUAAUGUUUGAUCUCUUUUUUCUUUUGUUCCAUAACAUUCCAAUUAUUAUACCCCGGCUUUAAAAAAAGGGGGUAUACUGUUUUAACUCUGUCUGUCCUUCCAUCCUUCCGUCAGUCCGUCAGCCUGUCCGUCCCAUGAAUAUUUUUCGUCACAUUUUUCUCAGGAAUUACACUACAAGGAUUUCUGAAAUUUGGUUUCAGGCUUGAUAUACAUGUAAUAUAAGUCAGCUAUACUGUGUGAUGUGUUUUCAGAUUCAUCACUCGCCAACUUCCUGUUUACCGAACACUUGUAUGAUUUUACACAUGAUAGCGAAGUUAAAAAUUUUCGUCACAAUUUUCCCCGGAACUACAAUACAAGGAUUUCUGAAAUUUGGUUUCAAGGUUUAUUUAAGUUAGCUACAUGUACAUGUAUACUGUGUGAUGCGUUUUCAGAGUCAUCACUCGAUUACUUCCUGUUUACCGAACACUUGCAAAUUUUUACACUAUUAAUAUUAUCCACUUGCGGCGGGGGGUAUCAUCAGUGAGCAGUAGAUUGCAGUUUCUCUUGUUUCUUUUAUAUUAAUUGAACAGUGCAUCAGCUUAAAGUCGGACAUGCUUAGACAAAUGUUGAUUUUAAAAGGGAUCUUUGAUAAAAAAAUUUACUUUUAGUUUUAUAGAAUAAUAAAGGAUAAUUACAUGACUAAAGCUCUACCAUUCAUUGUUUAUCAUUUUUUUAUGACUUUAUACAUUAUUUAAUAAAAAAAACAAAACAAUAUUGCCAUGAUUACCCAAAAAAUUUAAAUGAACAAAUAAUGUUUUGUAUUAUUUUUAUGUCCCCGUCUUAGCAUAAGAGGCAUUAAGUUUUACAUGUAUCUUUCUGUACUUCCUUCCUUACAUAUGUCCCAAAGUUUGUUUCUGUUCUCUUAACUUUAGUUUGCUUCAACCAAAUGUUAUGAAACUUAUUUAAAAUGCUUAUUACCAUUAAACAGAUCAAGUAUGAAACUUGCUGCGUCACAUUUAAGGUUCUAGAGUUAUGGCCCUUUACAAAUGAAAAAAAUGCUGAAUUUUUGGUUUUAAAUAUAUCUAGCUUUAUUUUGCCUCAACCAAUUCAAAUGUUAUUAAACUUAUACACAAUGCUUAUUAUGAAGUUUUACACGGAUUAAAAGGUCCCCAUCAAAGGAUUUUUUCCCACUAUUUUGUCCACUUUUUUCAUAAUUUUGAUGGGAUGGAAUGGGACUGCGUACUAUACCUAACUGCGUAUUAUACAUGAUGGAAUACAUCAUGCAUUAUAUUUAUCUCCCUUGAAAGACCAAAUUUAUACCAUUGAUUAUAUGCAAAUAACUUUGUAUUAAUAUAAAAGUAGGAAGAUGUGAGUAUGAGACUUUUCUCCAAUACACACCAACUGAAGAUAAACUCAGUAUCUAUAAAGUUCUAUAGGUCGCCAUUAGGUCUUUUAAAAUGAGCAAAACAUAUCGACAAGACCCUGAAAUGACAAAGGUAAUACAAAUUGAAUGAGAAAAUUGAUGUCUUGAUUAAUGUAUAUUAUGAAAUACAGCAACAAUGUCAAUUUGUUAAAAAAUUAAAGAAAUACUUUCAUUUAUAUGUAUUAACCACAAUAAAAGAUAAAAGAAGACAAGACAUACAUUUGACAUAUUCUGAAAUCUGCAUACAUAAACCAGGUAAUGCUUUCAAACAUUUGUUUUACAUAGAGUACUUGAAUUCAUGGUUAACCUAUACUGAUAUGAAACCAUUAAUAUUAUGCACGCUAUAAGUAUUAUAAAAAAUUUAUCCAUAAUAUAUAUAAACAUGAUAUAGGACUCAGAACCAUGAUGGUACUCAAACCCACUUUGGACAGGCAAUGUUUACAUUAUGACGUUUUCUUGUUGAUACAUGUAACUUAAUUAAAGUUUGGACAAAAAUCAAGUGAAACAUACUUGAAGACAGGUUGAAGAAAGUCAAGAUUAAGAUCGAGACAUUUUAUUAGUUGUACAAAUUGUUGCAGCAUACUGCAAAACACUGGUUUGCAGAUCAGGAUCAUCUUUUAGCUGCUUUGUUGCCAUAUUUUUUGUAACCACCUCAUGCAUGGACAAUGCAAAAAAUGUUUGGGACUUGAAUUGUUCUUAACUUUGCUUUUCCUUAACAUCUUCUACAAAAUCUUAUUCUUUAGCCGGCAUAUCAAUCUUUCUUUGAAUUUAGAUAGAUAUAGGAAGAUGUGGUGUGAGUGCCAAUGAGACAACUCUCCAUACAAAUAACAAUUUAAAAAGUAAACCAUUAUAGGUUAAAUAUGGAAUAAAAAAUUGUCAUGCCCAAACUUCAGCGCAGUCUAUCGUUUUCAGGGUGACCAUUAAUUAUGCUUCAGCCGUCAGCGUUAACAUUACACCGCAGAGUCCUAUACAUGUAUAUACACUGUUACAUGUAAAUUAAAAACGAAUCAGACAGACCUCAAACUUAAGAUUCUAAAGUAAGGUGUUAUGACAUAAUAAGGCUAGCCAACACAUCUUUUACCAGCAUUCCAUCUAUAGUUAAAAUUAAAAAAAAGAUAUCCACCAAAGUUCAAAAGAAAUGACUGAAAGCAAUUUUAGACAUCUGUCGGGCCUUCAAAACAUUGUCACUGCAUCUCAAUAUACACAGUACAGUACAGCAUACCUUUUUGUUUUAUAUACAAAUGUAAUCUAUUUUUUAUUUAGCCAAAUUUGGAAGUUAAUAUUAUUUUUUAUCUUAUAUCAAAAUUCUAUUACUGCUAAUUUCUGAUGACCAAUCAAAACACACCCUGGUGUAUUCCUUGUAUUUGUUAAUUUGACCAUUUGUUAAUUACAGGAUUAAGCAUGUUAUAUUUAAAAGUUACAUGAAAGUACAUGUAUGUUAAUUAAAUAUUAGAAUAUUAAAUCAAUAAAAUGAAAAUCAACAUUAAAAAUUAAAAAAUGGAUUGUGUAUUAAUUAUAAAAAUAAUCAUGUAAAUUAAAUGAUCUGUAAAUAAAUAUUUUUUUAGUAGUGAAUUUAAAUACAGGUUAAUCUUUUCUUUACAAGAAGUAGGAUAUUUAAAGGCCAGAGUAUCGGACCAGAUUGAGAACACCAAUCAUUGUACAAGGUCUAUAAAUAGAUCAUCUUUACAUUGACUACCCCAUGUAUAUUGUUGACAACUUCGGAUUUUCUGGUUAAAUUAAAAAAUUUAAAUACCUAUAUCCUGGUCAUAUGUUAUAUGUGAUAAGGAAAUGUGAAAAAGGAAUAUCUUCCGAUAAUGUAGUGUUUCAUAAGUGGUAUUAAUAGCCUACGGAAAUCUAUGUUAUAAUAACAUCAUGAACAUUGUCAAUUAUUAUUAAAACAGUAAUUUAUCCUGUUUUUAAUGACAUAAGUUUAAGACACUUGCCUAUGGAUUGAAAAUUAUAUACAUUCUAGAUGUGCUACAUGUAUGUUUAUUUAGUUAUAAAUAUAUACUGUUUUCAAGUGCCUCGUGAAAGUAAAGUACAUUGUAUUCAUUUUUCAUAUGGAAGUAACAAGCAACGUUGACAUUUCACUUCAGAAAUUUAAUUUUGUGGAUUUUACUAGAUUUGAUAUUAUAUUUAUUUGAUUUUGAUAUAUUGGGUACACACAAGUAAGGAAUUACCCAAUUACGAUGAAUCUAAUAAUAGAAUCGUCAACAGGAUUGUAAAUAUAAACUGGUGACAAAACUGGAGCAGUUGACAAAAUUCAUUAUGCUAGUGAAGAAUUAAUAAUCAAUUCAAAUACAAAGAAAGAAAAGGAUAUGUACAAGUGAAUGAUCGAACAUUGCCAUUAAUGAACUAACGGUCAGUGCACUUUCUUCGCUGAAAACAUUGGAUAAUUUUACAUUUAGGCAAUUAAAGAAAUAAUUAGUUGAAAAGAAAGGAAAAUUUCGAUUGACGAUAUUUCUUGAAAUUUAAUUGAUUUCUGUUUUGACAAAAAAUGGAUUUUUAAGAGAUUUAGUGAGACAUUUUGGAGAAGCCUAAAGAAUUAUAUUACAAGUUUGUGAUCAAUUUUGGAUAAAUUUGUAUACUGAAAAGUGAUCAAUUCUGGAUUUUUAAAGCAGUUACAAAUGUAGGGGAAUAUUUCAAUAUUUUGUAAAACAUUAAAUAACAUUUGGAUUCUGUAUUUUUGCAAUAUUUAUUCUAAUUUCAAUGAUCACGUUUAGCAACAUCUAUAUAAACAUUUAAUGGACUCAGACUUGUAAAUUUCAUUCUGAGAUGCAUAAUUAUUUCUGCCAGAUUUAGAGUUAGCAAUAUAGACAAACAAUUGAGUUUGCCUAUAAUCGUCACUUUACAAUAAAAUUUGAGGGUGUAGGCUAUAUUAGGCUUAAGCCGUUCGUCAGCACUUGGAUUACUAAGUAUUGCAUUUGGAAUCAGCUGAGAAAGAUCAGAUCAAUACACGUAAAACCUAACAUUCUGUCUGGUGUGUUAGUCAACAUGCUCGGCACAGUGAUGAGAAUAGAAAAAGAACCUUAUAUGGAAAAUCAGGAUCUAAUUCUUGGUACAGGUAAUUGUUGAUAUUUUAUCUAAUUUUUUCACUUACCAGUAAUCUUAAAAAUUAAAAAAAAUUUUUUUUUUUAGAUAUUGUUGCAUUCUUAACAUAAAUUAUAAAAUAAUUACUCACUGUACUAGGUGUUCCAUUCAAAUUUGAGAAAAGUCAUAGACCAUUUACAUAUUACAGAAUUUUGAUUCUGUAGUAGGUGUAGUAUAUAAUUUUUAAUAGAUUUAAUUGUGGGGAAAAAGUAACUGUUUUACAAAUGGUUUUGGUAUUUUCUUUCUAGGUAUCCAUUUUUGUGGAUUGAGCAUUAUGAAUCAAGUUUAACGUUAGUGGGUAAUCUUAACUGCCAAAUUGUCUCUAUAUUCUUUUGUGAUCUCUUGACUGAACAUAUAUACAUAAAGACGAUUAGUGCAGCUUUAUCCUUUCAUGGUAGAGAUGAGUACUAAGCUGAGACAUCCAGUAACUAUUUAUGUAAAAUAUCCAAACUGAUUUGUUUCAGACACUUUGGAUUUAAAAUAAAAGGAUAAACCAAAGAAAUAAUAUAAAAUUAGCACACAGUUUGGUCAAAUUUUGUAUAAAUAAGCUUAAUGAUAUUGCUGAUGUAUUAUUGGCUUGCAAGUCAAUAAUUUAAUCCUAGUUGAAUCCACAUUCUUGCAAUGUCUAAUUUGAACAUUAAUGAAGACCGUGUUCAUGUGUUCAACUUCAGCAUGUUCAAGGAACAUUCAUUUGAUGAUUAAAGAUCUGACCGUGUAUCACAUUAAUUGAUCCCUGAAUUUAGACAAUGCAUACAUGUAUUGUAUAUUGAUUCCUUAAACAUUAAAAACUGACAUAAUAAAAACAGAUAAUGAGAUUAAGACCAUUGUCUAGUACUAAUGGACUUAAUAGUUAUAAGAAAUAGUUACAAUAAGUUCUAUAAGGCCUCGUAUUUGACUACAUUUGGUUCCUAUACAUGUACUUUUUUCAUAUACAAAUACUGCAAUAAAAAAAGAUGAUGCUUUUUAUAAAAAUAUGCUUGUAUAGUACUAACAUACAUUUGUAAAAUAUUUUUGAAACUUUUGCUAAGGUAAGGAUUAAACUAGAUGAUUUACUGUGUAGUAUUAAGUCUUUUGUUUAUAUAUAUUUUGCAUUGAAUUUCAAACAAAGAAUUGUUUAAGUAUGUCAGUUUGAAUUUAGACUAACAAUGCAUGGUAUUUAAAUGUAAUAAUUACUUGUAAUCGUUAUGAAUUACAUAAUUUUUCACAUUGACCGUAAAUUGACCUAACUAUAGGUAAGUUAAAAGAUUUUAUUUCACUUUGAACUUCUUUUUUGUACUUUUGACAUAUUUGUUAUGAGUUAAUAUAAAGAUAUACUGACUUUUAAAUAUUUGAGGAAGUCUGCAUGGUUACGAGGGAACCAGUAUUACCUCACAUUGAUUUGUUUUGAAUAUGAUGAACAAAAAUGAUAAUUCUAAUCAAGGUCAUUACAUUUGGAGACCCCUUAACAUUGCAUAUAAGAUAGAUAUAGGAAGAUGUGGUAUGAGUACCAAUGAGACAACUCUCCAUCCAAGUCUAGAUUGGGGUAUUGAUUUCUGUAUUCUUUGAUUUUUAUACUAUUUUGCUCUGUUCAUUUAACCCAAUCCUGACCCUAUAAUAAAGCCUAAAUGUUUACAAAAAAAAUGUAACUUGAUUGCUGAAAGUUUGAAACACUUUUCUUUGUAUGAUUGAUCAAAGUUUAUAAUACCCAACCUGCAAUAGGGAUAAAGUAAAAAAUGAUCACAGGUGCUUAUGAAAGGUAAGUAGAUCCUACUCCACAUGUGGUACCCGUUGUAUUGCUCAUGAAAGGUAAGCAGAUCCUACUCCACAUGUUGUACCCGUUGUAUUGCUCAUGAAAGGUAAGCAGAUCCUACUCCACAUGUUGUACCCGUUGUAUUGCUCAUGAAAGGUAAGCAGAUCCUACUCCACAUGUUGUACCCGUUGUAUUGCUCAUGUUAUUACACACCUGGUAAUACAAUGUAAGUCUAAUUUGUAGGUCACAUGGGUGAAAAGGGAACUUGAUUUUAGUUACGACAUUGCUGAGGAACAUAUAUCCUCUAUCAUCUGUGAAACAAAUAUUCAAUUUCCAACUCGUAAAAUUUACAAAGGGAAGUAAUAUGUUUCUCGGUUUGUGUGUCUUGACUGAGCAUCCAAAUGUUUGACUGUCCUGUAUUGAUUAAGAGCUUUUCUUUCUCUUCCUCGGAAUACAGAAGUAUACUCCUAGAUGAGAUUGUAAAAUUUCUAGGUUGCAGUUGUUUACCAUUUAGUAAAACUGUAAUUGUAGCAUUAUUUCUUUUGUCUUUUCCUUUUGUCUGUCCCAAACAAUCCCUUUUAAGACUCCUAGAGGUCAACCUUGAAAUGGUUAUGAGACAUGAUAUAUACAAAUAUUGAUUAAAACCUUACAUGUAUUAAGACUGAGACGAUAGAUCAGUAAAAAACAAAUUUGAACAAAUAUAAGGGACGAUAUCAUAAGAUCGAUGUAGGAUACAAAACUUAAAUAAAUGUUUGGGGGUGGGGGGGGGGGGGGGGUAAAAUUCUGCAAGUUUUGUAUAUCUUAAAUCGAUUUUUACACAUAUCCCUAUUGGUAAAUCAAUUUUCCCCAAAUUAAGUUAAGAGGGAAAAAACUAUGUGAAUUAAGUUUUUUAUCCUACAUUGAACUUUUGAUGUCGUCCCUAACAGUAUCUCAUUGUUCAAUAAUUGAAUGGAAAAACCAGAUUCAUGUUUGGUAGAAUUAUGUAACAGUAUAAAAAUUUGAAAAGCUAAUUAAUGUGUUUUCUAAUUUAGGAAAAUAAUAAUUGAUUGAGUUGAACUUAGGGACGACAUCAAAAGUUCAAUGAAGGAUAAAAAACUUAAUUCAAAUAGUUUUUUCACUGACCCCCCCUACCCCCCUAUUAACUUAUUUUGGAAAAAAUUGAUUGACCCAUAUGGAUAUAUGUAAAAAAUCAAUGUCGGAUAACCAAAUCUUGCAGCAGUUCAACCCCCACCCCCAAACUAUUUGAAUUAAGUUUUUUAUCUUACAUUGAUCUUUUGAUGUCGUCCCUUAAGUGUUACGAGAGAGACCUUGAAGUUGUGGUGUUAUGUAUCAAGAUUAAUUAAAUUUAAGUGUUACUAGUGAGACCUUGAAAUUGUGGUAUUACAUGUAUUAUAACAGGUUAAUUAAAUAUCUGUAUUUGUUUGUAUGUUGCCUAGAGUUAGUAGAGAGUAUCUAGGUCUAGUUUUUUUUACUUGUAUUAUACUUAUUGAAUUCUAUACCAACUGAGUUACAAACGUGACUGCUCUUUGGUCGAGUUGUUGUCUCUUUGAAAUAUUCCCCAUUUCCAUUCUCAAUUAAUGAAUUUUUAUAUAGGAUAAGGACAUAAUCACAAUUCUUAAACCUAUCAGUGUUUAGUAUUUUAAGUACCGGUAAUAAGAAAAAUUAUAUAAUGAAUAGAAAAAAAAAAGAUUUUUUAAUUAAUUGAGUAAAGGAUUAUUGAUUCUUGUCGUCUUUCGUCAUCUUUUUGUUUUAAAAAUAUCCUUUCCUCAUAAAUUACUUGGCGGCCAAUUGGGAACCACAUUACACAAUCUUCAUUAAGAUAUCUUUUGAUUAGGUCAGUUUUAGGGGCACCACUAAUUAUAUGUAAAAUAGUGGUAUAGAUAUUUGUUAUGCAGUUUAUUAAAAGAAUGGGAUAUUUGGUAUGCAGUUAAAUAUAUAUAAGAAUGGGAUAUUUGGUAUGCAGUUAAAUCUUAUAAUGGGAUAUUUGGUAUGCAGUUAAAUUGUAAAAAUGGGAUAUUUGGUAUGCAGUUAAAUUAUAAAAAUUGGAUAUUUGGUAUGCAGUUUAUUAUAAGAAUGGGAUAUUUGGUAUGCAGUACAUAUACCUAGCCCAUCACAUUUAUAUACAGUACUAGUCCAGACAAAGAUCUGUGUCAAUAGUUUGUGUAUAUAUAUUUGAGUAGAUGGUUUAUAUUUAUAGUUUAUAUAAUUAAGAACAUAUUUUGUACAUUUUGUAUAUUUAAUUCGAUAGUUAUAAGUAGAUAGCUUAUAUUUGUUGUAUAUAUAUUUAAGAACAUAUCUUGUACAUUUUAUAUAUUUAAUUAGAUAGUUAAUCCCUAUUUGAUCUCUAUUGGUCUUUAGUGUAUUGAAUUAGGACAUUAUUAAGGGCAUUAUAAGUGUUCACAAAAGAUUAAAGAAUAUUUGUGUAUUGUUAAUAGAGCUGAUAAACACAAGGUGUUUAAAUAUCUGUGUCAAUAUACCAUGUUAAAGUGUCGCAUUGUAAUUAAAUAAAUUAAAUAAAUGUUUACAGAGCACAUUAACCUCAAAAUUAAAUGAAUUAGCCUUCUUCCUGGUUUUGGUACACAUGCUCUUUUUUGGUUAAAAGAUUGAUUUAUUAUCUUUUAGCAAAUGUUAGGGUUAGUUUGUAGUGGAAAAAAAAUCUGAUUCAGAAAAAAACAUCUCCCUCUUCCUUGAAGUUAAAUUUUUGCUCCCUAAAAAAAUUCUUGCAAUUUUAUUGAAAUAAUACUUUGUUUUGAAAGAAAAUAAAGAUAAAUUUAUGCAGCCCUACUUCAUACACAAUUACAAACAAGAGAUGAAUGGACUUUUGGUCAAUAGUUUCUAGUGAAUUAGUUUUGUCACAUUGAUUUCCUUGAUUUCAAAUGAGGUUGUCAUCCUUUAUGAUGUUAAAACUGAAAUGCAGACAUUGCAAUGCAAUCAACAUCUAAUAAACAGAACUGAAUGACAUAUUGAAGCCUGAUCUGUUUUACAAUUAACUUAUUUACUUGGGGUCUGGAUUGGGAGGGGGCCUUCAUUUCUUCAUUUUCUAACUUUUAUACCCCACCUACGAUAGUAGAUGAGCAUUAUGUUUUCUGGUCUGUGUGUCUGUUCGUUCUAGAUCUUCUGUCCGUCACUGUAGACACAUUCUUGUUAAACCUAUUUUCCCCCUUUUGUGUCGUUUGGUUGCUUAUUAAUUGACAAAAUACAUUUGUAUUAUAUAUUGACAAGGUUUAAACAUGACAGCUGUAAAGAAUCAAAGUAUAUAUUUCAAAUUUUGAUGUUGUUUUCUUUUUCAGAUCACAAUCAGAACCUUAACAGAUCACACAGUUUAAAGGUCAGAUCAAGGUCAAGUCCUCACCAUCACAAUAGAUUAGGU